AGAACGAACGCUGGCGGCAUGCCUAACACAUGCAAGUCGAACGCUCUCUUCGGAGGGAGUGGCGCACGGGUGAGUAACGCGUGGGAACCUGCCUUGGAGUGGGGGAUAACCGAUGGAAACGUCGGCUAAUACCGCAUACGUCCUGAGGGAGAAAGAUUUAUCGCUCUGAGAGGGGCCCGCGUCGGAUUAGCUAGUUGGUGGGGUAACGGCCUACCAAGGCGAUGAUCCGUAGCUGGUCUGAGAGGAUGAUCAGCCACACUGGGACUGAGACACGGCCCAGACUCCUACGGGAGGCAGCAGUGGGGAAUAUUGGACAAUGGGCGCAAGCCUGAUCCAGCAAUGCCGCGUGAGUGAUGACGGCCUUAGGGUUGUAAAGCUCUUUCGGCGGGGACGAUGAUGACGGUACCCGCAGAAGAAGCCCGGCUAACUUCGUGCCAGCAGCCGC
rnacentral:rRNA from 1 species